UGCAGCGGUGAUAGCUCGCUGAAAGUACCAGUUCACUGAAGUUAAGCAACGUUGCUCGUGCUUACUAUCCGGAUGGGGGAGCAUCGCGUGCUGCUUGCA
rnacentral:rRNA from 1 species